rnacentral:rRNA from 1 species
UAGGGAAUCUUCGGCAAUGGGGGCAACCCUGACCGAGCAACGCCGCGUGAGUGAAGAAGGUUUUCGGAUCGUAAAGCUCUGUUGUAAGUCAAGAACGAGUGUGAGAGUGGAAAGUUCACACUGUGACGGUAGCUUACCAGAAAGGGACGGCUAAUUACGUGCCAGCAGCCGCGGUAAUACGUAGGUCCCGAGCGUUGUCCGGAUUUAUUGGGCGUAAAGCGAGCGCAGGCGGUUUGAUAAGUCUGAAGUUAAAGGCUGUGGCUCAACCAUAGUUCGCUUUGGAAACUGUCAAACUUGAGUGCAGAAGGGGAGAGUGGAAUUCCAUGUGUAGCGGUGAAAUGCGUAGAUAUAUGGAGGAACACCGGUGGCGAAAGCGGCUCUCUGGUCUGUAACUGACGCUGAGGCUCGAAAGCGUGGGGAGCGAACAGGAUUAGAUACCCUGGUAGUCCACGCCGUAACGAUGAGUGCUAGGUGUUGGAUCCUUUCCGGGAUUCAGUGCCGCAGCUAACGCAUUAAGCACUCCGCCUGGGGAGUACGACCGCAAGGUU